rnacentral:rRNA from 1 species
UACGAGGGGGGCAAGCGUUGUUCGGAAUUAUUGGGCGUAAAGGGCGCGUAGGCGGUGCGGUAAGACUGUGGUGAAAUCUUCGGGCUCAACUCGAAGCCUGCCGCGGUGACUGCCGUGCUGGAGUGUGGGAGAGGUGAGUGGAAUUCCCGGUGUAGCGGUGAAAUGCGCAGAUAUCGGGAAGAACACCCGUGGCGAAGGCGGCACUCUGGGACGGUACUGACGCUGAGACGCGAAAGCGUGGGGAGCGAACAGG